rnacentral:rRNA from 1 species
UACGUAGGGUGCAAGCGUUGUCCGGAAUUAUUGGGCGUAAAGAGCUCGUAGGCGGUUUGUCGCGUCGGCUGUGAAAACUCGGGGCUCAACCCCGAGCCUGCAGUCGAUACGGGCAAACUAGAGUGCUGUAGGGGAGACUGGAAUUCCUGGUGUAGCGGUGAAAUGCGCAGAUAUCAGGAGGAACACCGGUGGCGAAGGCGGGUCUCUGGGCAGUAACUGACGCUGAGGAGCGAAAGCGUGGGGAGCGAACAGG